AAAGUGCGAUAAGCAAUGCGAAUUGCAGAAUUCCGCGAAUCAUCAGAUCCUUGAACGCAAAUGGCGCUGGAUGGAUAUCCUUCCAGCAUGUCUGUUUCAGUGUCUGAAAACAUCCAAACACAGGUGAUGUUAGAGGGCCUCAAAAACCCACUUACAGAGCCUAAUUUAAUGUGUUUGACGCUCAUUUCAUUUAUGUGGAAUGUCAGUGUCUUACAUGAAUUCAUGUAUGUGCGGAUCUUUGGAUCCAUCGAAUUGGUCACUGAAUCUUUAUCAGUGAUUUCGAUGCGAAAACAUAUUCAAUUAUCCAUAUGCACGUAUUAACCAAUCUCUUUUGUGUAAAAGCAAAAACGAGAUACUACAUCUAUUCUGCAUCUGAAAUCAGGCAAGAACACCCGCUGAACUUAA
rnacentral:misc_RNA from 1 species